UGAAGUCUUUUUCCUCUAUAGGUUUUGAUAAUAUGGAACAAUAACAUGUUUGGUUACUCUUUUUGUGUUUACUUAACACUAGUGGCAUGCAUCUUCUCAGGCUGCAGUGCUAGCGAUGGAUGAAUCAGUAUUAGAUGUUGAUCAGGUGGAAAAUCUAAUAAAAUUUUGUCCUACUAAAGAAGAGAUGGAACUUCUCAAGGGUUACACAGGUGACAAGGAGAGCCUGGGAAAGUGUGAACAGUAUUUUAUGGAGUUGAUGAAAGUUCCUAGAGUGGAAUCAAAAUUGCGAGUGUUCUCUUUCAAGAUUCAGUUCAACUGUCAGGUU